rnacentral:rRNA from 1 species
GACGAACGCUGGCGGCGUGCUUAACACAUGCAAGUCGAACGGAAAGGCCCAGCUUAUGUGGGGUGCUCGAGAGGCGAACGGGUGAGUAACAAGUGAGUAACCUGCCCUUGACAUCGGGAUAACUACAGGAGACUGGGGCUAAUACAGGAUAGGUGCUACCGCAUCAAGGUGGGGGAUGGAAAGUUACGGCGGUUGGGGAUGUACUCGCGGCUUAUCAGCUUGUUGGUGGGGUAGUGGCUUAACAAGGCAUUGACGGGUAGCCGGCCUGAGAGGGUGACCGGGCACAUUGGGACUGAGAUACGGCCCAGACUCCUACGGGAGGCAGCAGUGGGGAAUAUUGCACAAUGGGAGGAAGCCUGAUGCAGCAACGCCGCGUGCGGGAUAACGGCCUUCGGUUUGGAAACCGCUUUUGCCUGUGACGAAGAGUGAGUGACGGUAAUGGGUAAAGAAGCACCGGCUAACUACGUG